rnacentral:rRNA from 1 species
CUUGGUCAUUUAGAGGAAGUAAAAGUCGUAACAAGGUCUCCGUUGGUGAACCAGCGGAGGGAUCAUUACCGAGUUUACAACUCCCAAACCCCUGUGAACAUACCUAUACGUUGCCUCGGCGGAUCAGCCCGCGCCCCGUAAAACGGGACGGCCCGCCCGAGGACCCCUAAACUCUGUUUUUAGUGGAACUUCUGAGUAAAACAAACAAAUAAAUCAAAACUUUCAACAACGGAUCUCUUGGUUCUGGCAUCGAUGAAGAACGCAGCAAAAUGCGAUAAGUAAUGUGAAUUGCAGAAUUCAGUGAAUCAUCGAAUCUUUGAACGCACAUUGCGCCCGCCAGUAUUCUGGCGGGCAUGCCUGUUCGAGCGUCAUUUCAACCCUCAAGCUCAGCUUGGUGUUGGGACUCGCGGUAACCCGCGUUCCCCAAAUCGAUUGGCGGUCACGUCGAGCUUCCAUAGCGUAGUAACUUCUGAAUGUUGACCUCGGAUCAGGUAGGAAUACCCGCUGAACUUAAGCAUAUCAAUAAGCGGAGGA